AUUGAACGCUGGCGGCAGGCCUAACACAUGCAAGUCGAGCGAGCGGCGGACGGGUGAGUAAUGUAUGGGGACUGCCCGAUAGAGGGGGAUAACUACUGGAAACGGUGGCUAAUACCGCAUAAUGUCGGAUAACCCAUAUGGGAUUAGCUAGUAGGUAAGGUAAUGGCUUACCUAGGCGACGAUCCCUAGCUGGUCUGCGAGGAUGAUCAGCAACACUGGGACUGAGACACGGCCCGGACUCCUACGGGGGCAGCAGUGGGGAAUAUUGCACAAUGGGCGCAAGCCUGAUGCAGCCAUGCCGCGUGUAUGAAGAGGGCCCUAGGGUUGUAAAGUACUUUCAGUCGGGAGGCGUUACCGACAGAAGAAGCACCGGCUAACUCCGUGCCAGCCGCCGCGGUAAUUC
rnacentral:rRNA from 1 species